rnacentral:rRNA from 1 species
UACAGAGGGGGCAAGCGUUGUUCGGAAUUACUGGGCGUAAAGCGUGCGCAGGCGGUUUUGUAAGCCAGAUGUGAAAUCCCCGGGCUUAACCUGGGAAUGGCAUUUGGGACUGCAAGGCUUGAGUUUGGCAGAGGAGACUGGAAUUCCUGGUGUAGCAGUGAAAUGCGUAGAUAUCAGGAGGAAUACCGAUGGCGAAGGCAGGUCUCUGGGCUAGAACUGACGCUCAUGUCACGAAAGCGUGGGGAGCAAAC